GCGCUUUUUUUCUGAGUUAACUGUUGCUCGAUGCAGAACACUUUUGUAUCUGCCAUUGCUCAAUACUUCCAUUUGAUCUCCCAAUUGAACAAUGAGAGCUCCUUCAAUGAGUGGAACUGAAUGCCACUUUUCAUCUCGAUCCAUGAUUUGCAAGCCCAGAUGGUUUUGAAGAAUGAUUGUUAGCAUACCAUAAUCUGUAUGUGGUGGCAAUCCUAGUGUAAGAUCUGGCUCAGGACAUGCUGGAUAGCAAUUAACUGCCAUGACCUGGGAACCUUCUGCAAUGUCUUCAUUUGCAGGUGACAUGGACACGACACGACAGUGCAUGACAAGUAGUACCUGGAAGAAACCAAAUUUCUUGCAAGCCAGGUGUACUUCCUGGAUUAUCUGAGGCCGAAGAAGAGGGUGUUGCAGAUAGGAUAGAUCCACAAUUGGCAAGCAUGUGUUAUACUCGGCUCCAUUGGGCCGUAGGGAUGGUGGAAGGAUAUAACACUUGGGAACACAGGUUAGUUCCUCUUCAGUAAGUGUCAUGGCACUAGUAAAUGAACCAUUUGGUGAAGCUGAGCUCCCUAUCAUUUUUCCCACCAUAUUGUGUUAGUCUUCCUUUAUGUUCCAUAUGGCUUUUAAUUACUCCCUAUUUAUAAGGAGGAAAAUAUGAAGAUAUGGUUGGAGUUUUUAAUUA